rnacentral:rRNA from 1 species
AUUGAACGCUGGCGGCAGGCCUAACACAUGCAAGUCGAGCGGAUAAAGGGAGCUUGCUCCUGGAUUCAGCGGCGGACGGGUGGGUAAUGCCUAGGAAUCUGCCUGGUAGUGGGGGAUAACGUCCGGAAACGGGCGCUAAUACCGCAUACGUCCUGAGGGAGAAAGUGGGGGAUCUUCGGACCUCACGCUAUCAGAUGAGCCUAGGUCGGAUUAGCUAGUUGGUGGGGUAAAGGCCUACCAAGGCGACGAUCCGUAACUGGUCUGAGAGGAUGAUCAGUCACACUGGAACUGAGACACGGUCCAGACUCCUACGGGAGGCAGCAGUGGGGAAUAUUGGACAAUGGGCGAAAGCCUGAUCCAGCCAUGCCGCGUGUGUGAAGAAGGUCUUCGGAUUGUAAAGCACUUUAAGUUGGGAGGAAGGGCAGUAAGUUAAUACCUUGCUGUUUUGACGUUACCAACAGAAUAAGCACCGGCUAACUUCGUG